GAUGGUUUAACUCCUUCCCUUGCUA
rnacentral:tRNA from 1 species